rnacentral:rRNA from 1 species
AUUGAGACUGUCCUGGCUACAACGAACGCUGGCGGCGUGCCUAACACAUGCAAGUCGAACGGAAGUAAGAAGCUUGCUUUUUACUUUAGUGGCGCACGGGUGAGUAACGCGUGGAUAAUCUGCCUGAUGCUCUGGGAUAACAUCUCGAAAGGGGUGCUAAUACCGGAUAAGCCCACGAAGUCUUCGGACUUUGCGGGAAAAGGAGGGGACCUUCGGGCCUUCCGACAUCAGAUGAGUCCGCGUCCCAUUAGCUAGUUGGUGGUGUAAAGGACCACCAAGGCGACGAUGGGUAGCUGGUCUGAGAGGAUGAUCAGCCACACUGGAACUGAGACACGGUCCAGACUCCUACGGGAGGCAGCAGUGGGGAAUUUUGCGCAAUGGGGGCAACCCUGACGCAGCAACGCCGCGUGAGUGAUGAAGGCUUUCGGGUCGUAAAGCUCUGUCAGAAGGGAAGAAAUGUGGGUGGCUAAUAUCCAUACCACUUGACGGUACCUUCAAAGGAAGCACCGGCUAACUCCGUGCCAGCCGCCGCGGUAAUAC